UAUUGAAAAUUUGCACAUAUGUUACUUGAUGUAUUGUAUUUGCUUCGUGCAAAUUUUCAAUAAAUUCAAAGUACUUGAACAGGCAUAAAUACAUCAUAACAUCAGUGGUGCGUUUUUAAAUCACUUGAGUGUAGAGCUAUGGACAGCAGCUUUCAUCACCGGAUACCACCAGAUAACAACUUUUCAAUCUGUUCGCCGUUCGUUUACAUCAUCCGGUGACGUGUGACUACACCCUUAAUGUAUCCAUGGCCGAAUUAUCAGUUUGCCUUUAUGUUCCUCGUUCUACCAUUCCUUUACAGGUUUUAACAUCACGUUUUCGUGUAAUCGAUGAACACUUUCCUG
rnacentral:sRNA from 1 species